GAUGAAGAACGCAGCGAAAUGCGAUAAGUAAUGUGAAUUGCAGAAUUCAGUGAAUCAUCGAAUCUUUGAACGCACAUUGCGCCCCUUGGUAUUCCGAGGGGCAUGCCUGUUCGAGCGUCAUUAUAACCCCUCAAGCUCAGCUUGGUGUUGGGGCCUGCUGCACUGGCAGCCCUUAAAAUCAGUGGCGGCGCCAUCUGGCUCUAAGCGUAGUAAUUCUUCUCGCUAUGGAGUCCUGGUGGAUGCUUGCCAUCAACCCCCAAUUUUUCUAUGGUUGACCUCGGAUCAGGUAGGGAUACCAGCUGAACUUAAGCAUAUCAAUAAGGGAGGA
rnacentral:misc_RNA from 1 species